UACGUAGGGGGCAAGCGUUGUCCGGAAUCAUUGGGCGUAAAGAGCGCGUAGGCGGCCCAGUAAGUCCGCUCUGAAAGUCAGGGGCUCAACCCUGGAAGGCCGGUGGAAACUGUCGGGCUAGAGUCCGGAAGAGGCGAGUGGAAUUCCCGGUGUAGCGGUGAAAUGCGCAGAUAUCGGGAGGAACACCAAUGGCGAAGGCAGCUCGCUGGGACGGUACUGACGCUGAGACGCGAAAGCGUGGGGAGCAAACAGG
rnacentral:rRNA from 1 species